rnacentral:lncRNA from 1 species
CUGCAAUGAAUUAUAAAUAUUAAAAGAGAUUUCAGUAUCUAAUAUCCAGAUAGUAGAAUCAUAAAUUGAGAAAUUACAAGAUGUUAUUAUAUAAUUAUCUUGUCCAACAAUAACUUGCUUCUUUCUCAGCUUGUUCGGAUCCAAGGAGACAAUAUACUGAGGAUAAUUCCUCUUUUAGUGCCCUGCUUCUUACAGUAGAAGCAUUCCAUCUGACUC